UGUCAAUAACGCGAUAUCACGUUGAAAUAAAUUGCGCGAGAGAGGGAAAUUAAGGUUCCGGGUCCUGCUUAAACGAGCACCGCAAAAAAAAAUAAAUAAAUUGGGAAUAAGGUGUAUAUCACUGGUUAGAGGACAAUUUGUAGAAUACCGCUAGAGACAUUUUGAUUCAAGUGGGUUGCUAUCUGGGUUGUCCAUUGAUCGUUGAGAUACAGCUAUGGUCUGCAUUCCCUGCAUCGUCAUUCCCAUUCUCUUGUGGGUGUAUAAGAGGUUCCUUGAACCCAUCAUCUACCCCUUCAUGGGUCCAAUUAUAAGCCGAUUUUGGCCAACAAAAAAAGCUGUCCAGGAGAGUGUCACAGGAACGGGUGAUAUGAAAGCCAGUGAAAAGAGCAAUGGAUGCCCAGUGGUGAGCAAUGGAGCAUGCAAGACCGAAGUCAAUGGCUUGGUUGCUAAUGGGGCAGGUGCAAAUGGUUCAGCUACUGCAGCCUUUGACAAGAAGACUGACUGACAUUUCACUUCACACCUUAAGUUAUAUUUAUCACUGUGAAAGUGUUUUAAUACAAUAUGGAGAAAAACACUAAGUUAAUCAUUAUUUUAUUUAGUUGAGUAAUGUUGAAUCGUUUAAUGCUUGAUUUAACAUAGCAACACAAUUGUCAUUUUCCAUAAUGCUCAUUACAAUUGCUUUGAGAGAUUGAUUAAAGAUUGCAUUAUAAUUUCAGAAAUUGUCCAUAAUAUAUUUGCAGGAAUAGUGACAUUUUUGUGUUUCACUGUGAGAUUGGUAGUGAUAUUCACCUAUUCAUUCCUCCCACUGGAGCAGCAUCUGUUGUCAAAAUGUGAAAGCUGUUCUGUCUGUGGCUGUGUUAUCUAGUGGUUUCCUGGUUGCUAAAAUUCUACACUGUUCACUCAAUUUCAAUUUAUGUCAGAAAACAAGCACUGAAUGGUGUAGGGAAUCAUUGUACGAUCUAAAUCACUGUGAAUGAUCUUUUCGAUAACAAUAAAUAUUGUCGUUAUCGCUGUUUGAAGCUGGUGGACCAUAACUAAAAGUAACUUUUGGUGCUAGUGGACCAAAACCUAUGGUCCAAAGCCACAAAGUCAGAACAUUUUGACAGCAGAUGACUGUCUGGCGGGAGAAAUCAAUAGGCGAAUAACACAAGAUGGGAGGGUAAGUAAUACUAUGGAACACUAUCAUUCCACUAUUAUUGGCAAAUAUAUUAUUGACAUUUUCUGAAAUUACAAUGGAUUUUUUUUUUUCAAUCCUAUGUGUAGCACCUUUAAUAAAUUAAUAGUGCCUUUGGUUUAUCAAGCUUGAAUCGCUGAUGUGUUUAUAACAUACAAUACCUAGUUCUGUAUAGUAUUUAGUAUACAUUUUAUCAUUCUGAAAUAAAUUAUCAACAAUUUAAAAAUUGACAUCUUUCCUGUUUUAAAACAUUUUUAUUUUACUUUGUGCAAUGUAGAAAUAAAGCUAUAUGGAUUA